rnacentral:lncRNA from 1 species
CUGGGUCAUUUGUGUUGUUUAGCUUCUGGCUGAUUGACAUUUUUUGUACAUCCAAAACAAUUUCAACAACACCAUGACAUUACAAGCAAUGGCUUUUUCUGUUGCCUGUACAAAAUCUCAAAACAUAAACUUCCUCCUUUUAAGCUGGCAUCAGUGAUUUUAUGGGAGAUCAUUUGCAUUGAUUGGUUGUUGCUUGAGAAUCUUGCAGUGGUGAAAACAUGACAAACAAAAACUGGCUCAAAUUUUCAUUAAUCAAAGCUAAAAAGGUAUAAAGGUGCACAACUAUAACAUUCUUUUCCUUUUCAUGUUCUGGUAUUGCAAGAUAUAAUUUGGUUGAAAUGCACUAAAAAUUAAGGGGAGAUUACUCCGUAAUUUACUAUCAUUUUUACCAAAAGUUUCUUGAUUUAACAGACAUGCAGAAAUGAUACACCAACAAUUUGGAUCUCAGGAUGCUGGUAACAUCAAAUAUGAUUGUAAGGAUGGCUGGUUUUUUGCUGCCGUGAAUUGAAAUUUAUUCAAAAUUGCCUUAUUCUUACAAAGACUGGCAUUUAACUUUAAGUGACAAACAUUUAAUGCAUAUUUAGGACAAUAGACUAAUUUAAAAGUGAAUAAGAUAUACAUGUGUAAAAAG